rnacentral:lncRNA from 1 species
AAAAGCAGCCUGGCCUGGUGCAGUGCACCUAGAGUCCUAACUCCUAGCUACUUGGGAGGCUGAGGUGGCUAUGAUCUCACCACUGUACUCCAACCUGGUGACAGAGUAAGACCCUGUCUCUUAAAUAAAUAAGUAAAUAAAUGGAUAGAAAGAUAGAAAAAUACAUAAAUAAAUAAAAUGCCAGCACCUCAUUGCCAGACAGUAGAAUAAGGGAUUGGACCCUGAUCAGAAGGAGGUAGAAGUGUGAUUACAUACUGUGGGAUACAUAAUUUGGAGCCAAGUAGAUUCAUUAAGUCAUUUAGUACUGCCCAAAGUUUGAUGAUAAGUGGACAAGUAAAGCAAUUAGAGACUAAGAAGUGCAUGGUAUCAGUUGCCUCAAACUCCUCAGGGAUGUGGGGCUGGGUCAAGCCACCAGUUAAACCAUCCAGACUAGCAGCAGUCCUAGUUGAACCAGACUAUGGAAUAGAAAAGAACAAAUAGGCCUAAAUGAUAAAUUUAGCAAGGUCAAAGUAUAAAAGGCCGAUACAUGCAAGGUAAUUGUGUUUCUGUAUACUGGCAGUGAAAUAACUAUCAUGAAAUACUAUAUACAGUCACAUAGAAACAUGAAAGACAUAAAAAUAAUUUAAUAAUAAUGUAAAGGUUCUCUGCAAUGAAAAAUACAAAUAUUACCAAAAGAUAUUUAAAGCACCCAAAGUAAUGAAGAAAUAUACUAUGCUUAUUAAUUUAAAAACUCAUUUCUUUCCAAAUGAUUAAAAAUAAUCCCAACAGACUUUCUGUGAAAAUUAACCCAAACAACUUUUUUUUUUGAAACAGAGUCUCGCUCUGUUGCCCAGGCUGGAGUGCAGUGGCACAAUCUUGGCUCACUGCAACCU